rnacentral:rRNA from 1 species
AGUGAACGCUGGCGGUAGGCCUAACACAUGCAAGUCGAACGGCAGCACAGGAGAGCUUGCUCUCUGGGUGGCGAGUGGCGGACGGGUGAGGAAUACAUCGGAAUCUGCCCAGUCGUGGGGGAUAACGUAGGGAAACUUACGCUAAUACCGCAUACGACCUUCGGGUGAAAGAGGGGGAUCGCAAGACCUCUCGCGAGUGGAUGAGCCGAUGUCGGAUUAGCUAGUUGGCGGGGUAAUGGCCCACCAAGGCGACGAUCCGUAGCUGGUCUGAGAGGAUGAUCAGCCACACUGGAACUGAGACACGGUCCAGACUCCUACGGGAGGCAGCAGUGGGGAAUAUUGGACAAUGGGCGCAAGCCUGAUCCAGCCAUACCGCGUGGGUGAAGAAGGCCUUCGGGUUGUAAAGCCCUUUUGUUGGGAAAGAAAUCUUUCAGGCUAAUACCCUGGGAGGAUGACGGUACCCAAAGAAUAAGCACCGGCUAACUUCGUG